rnacentral:rRNA from 1 species
CCUACGGGAGGCUGCAGUAGGGAAUAUUGCACAAUGGGCGCAAGCCUGAUGCAGCAACGCCGCGUGAGUGAAGAAGGCUCUUGGGUCGUAAAGCUCUUUCGACAGGAAAGAAGGGUUUUAGAGUAAACAAUUCUAAGAUCUGACGGUACCUGAUGAAGAAGCACCGGCUAAUUUCGUGCCAGCAGCCGCGGUAAUACGAAAGGUGCAAGCGUUGUUCGGAAUCACUGGGCGUAAAGCGCACGUAGGCGGGUUUGUGUGUCGAUUGUGAAAGCCCC